rfam:Ornithorhynchus anatinus chromosome 5, whole genome shotgun sequence.
AGCAGCGUGGCUCAGCGGGAAGAGCCUCGGCUUGGGAGUCAGAGGUCAUGGGUUCGAAUCCCGGCUCUGCCA